rnacentral:rRNA from 1 species
UACGGAGGGUGCAAGCGUUAUCCGGAUUCACUGGGUUUAAAGGGUGCGUAGGUGGGCUAGUAAGUCCGUGGUGAAAUCUCCAAGCUUAACUUGGAAACUGCCGUGGAUACUAUUAGUCUUGAAUAUUGUGGAGGUAAGCGGAAUAUGUCAUGUAGCGGUGAAAUGCUUAGAUAUGACAUAGAACACCGAUAGCGAAGGCAGCUUGCUACACAAUCAUUGACACUGAGGCACGAAAGCGUGGGGAGUCAAACAGGA